ACUCAAAGGAAUAGACGGGGGCCCGCACAAGCGGUGGAGCAUGUGGUUUAAUUCGAUGCAACGCGCAGAACCUUACCAGCUCUUGACAUGGGAAGUAUGGGGCCGUGAAAGCGGUUCCUUCAGUUCGGCUGGCUUCCACACAGGUGCUGCAUGGCUGUCGUCAGCUCGUGUCGUGAGAUGUUGGGUUAAGUCCCGCAACGAGCGCAACCCUCAUCCUCAGUUGCCAUCAGGUUAAGCUGGGCACUCUGAGGAAACUGCCGGUGACAAGCCGGAGGAAGGCGGGGAUGACGUCAAGUCCUCAUGGCCUUUAUGGGCUGGGCUACACACGUGCUACAAUGGCGGAUACAGUGGGACGCGAAGGGGCAACCCUGGGCCAAUCUCAAAAAUCCGUCUCAGUUCAGAUUGCACUCUGCAACUCGAGUGCAUGAAGGUGGAAUCGCUAGUAAUCGCGGAUCAGCACGCCGCGGUGAAUACGUUCCCGGGCCUUGCACACACCGCCCGU
rnacentral:rRNA from 1 species